GCGUGUAUGGCGAAGUGGUUAACGCUCCGGAUUGUGGUUCCGGCACUCGAGGGUUCAAUUCCCUUUACACGCCCCA
rnacentral:tRNA from 3 species